GACGAACGCUGGCGGCGUGCUUAACACAUGCAAGUCGAACGGAAAGGCCCUGCUUUUGUGGGGUGCUCGAGUGGCGAACGGGUGAGUAACACGUGAGUAACCUGCCCUUGACUUUGGGAUAACUUCAGGAAACUGGGGCUAAUACCGGAUAGGAGCUCCUGCUGCAUGGUGGGGGUUGGAGAGUUUCGGCGGUUGGGGAUGGACUAGCGGCUUAUCAGCUUGUUGGUGGGGUAGUGGCUUACCAAGGCUUUGACGGGUAGCCGGCCUGAGAGGGUGACCGGCGACAUUGGGACUGAGAUACGGCCCAGACUCCUACGGGAGGCAGCAGGGGGGAAUAUUGCACAAUGGGCGGAAGCCUGAUGCAGCAACGCCGCGUGCGGGAUGACGGCCUUCGGGUUGUAAACCGCUUUCGCCUGUGACGAAGCGUGAGUGACGGUAAUGGGUAAAGAAGCACCGGCUAACUACGUG
rnacentral:rRNA from 1 species